UAGCUAGUUGGUGAGGUAACGGCUUACCAAGGCGACGAUCUGUAGCGGGUCUGAGAGGAUGAUCCGCCACACUGGAACUGAGACACGGUCCAGACUCCUACGGGAGGCAGCAGUGGGGAAUUUUGGACAAUGGGGGCAACCCUGAUCCAGCCAUGCCGCGUGAGUGAAGAAGGCCUUCGGGUUGUAAAGCUCUUUCGGCCGGGAAGAAAUCGCAUGGGCCAAUACCCUGUGUGGAUGACGGUACCGGAAUAAGAAGCACCGGCUAACUACGUGCCAGCAGCCGCGGUAAUACGUAGGGUGCGAGCGUUAAUCGGAAUUACUGGGCGUAAAGCGUGCCAGGCGGUUUUGUAAGACAGGCGUGAAAUCCCCGGGCUCAACCUGGGAACUGCGUUUGUGACUGCAAGGCUAGAGUACGGCAGAGGGGGGUGGAAUUCCACGUGUAGCAGUGAAAUGCGUAGUGAUGUGGAGGAACACCAAUGGCGAAGGCAGCCCCCUGGGUCGAUACUGACGCUCAUGCACGAAAGCGUGGGUAGCAAACAGGAUUAGAUACCCUGGUAGUCCACGCCCUAAACUAUGUCAACUAGGUGUUGGGUGGGUAAAACCAUUUAGUACCGUAGCUAACGCGUGAAGUUGACCGCCUGGGGAGUACGGCCGCAAGGUUAAAACUCAAAGGAAUUGACGGGGACCCGCACAAGCGGUGGAUGAUGUGGAUUAAUUCGAUGCAACGCGAAAAACCUUACCUACCCUUGACAUGCCAGGAACUUGCCAGAGAUGGCUUGGUGCCCGAAAGGGAGCCUGGACACAGGUGCUGCAUGGCUGUCGUCAGCUCGUGUCGUGAGAUGUUGGGUUAAGUCCCGCAACGAGCGCAACCCUUGUCGUUAAUUGCCAUCAUUUAGUUGGGCACUUUAGCGAGACUGCCGGUGACAAACCGGAGGAAGGUGGGGAUGACGUCAAGUCCUCAUGGCCCUUAUGGGUAGGGCUUCACACGUCAUACAAUGGUCGGUACAGAGGGUCGCCAAGCCGCGAGGUGGAGCCAAUCCCAGAAAGCCGAUCGUAGUCCGGAUUGCAGGCUGCAACUCGCCUGCAUGAAGUCGGAAUCGCUAGUAAUCGUGGAUCAGCAUGUCACGGUGAAUACGUUCCCGGGUCUUGUACACACCGCCCGUCACACCAUGGGAGCGGGUUCCGCCAGAAGUAGGUAGCCUAACCGCAAGGAGGGCGCUUACCACGGCGGGGUUCGUGACUGGGGUGAAGUCGUAACAAGGUAGCCGUAGGGGAACCUGCGGCUG
rnacentral:rRNA from 1 species